rnacentral:rRNA from 1 species
UAAGCGAGUAGUGAAAUCGUGUGGCUCAACCAUACGGCUAUUACUCGAACUGGCGGGCUCGAGAAUGGUAGAGGUAACUGGAAUUUCUAGUGUAGGAGUGGAAUCCGUAGAUAUUAGAAGGAACACCAAUGGCGUAGGCAGGUUACUGGACCAUUUCUGACGCUGAGGCACGAAAGCGUGGGGAGCGAACCGGAUUAGAUACCCGGGUAGUCCACGCCGUAAACGAUGGAUACUA